CUGCGGUGAAUACGUUCCCGGGUCUUGUACACACCGCCCGUCAAACCAUGAAAGCGACCAACACCCGAAGUCCGAUUCGUCGGCCUAAGGUGGGGGGCAUGAUUGGGGUU
rnacentral:rRNA from 1 species